AUUGAACGCUGGCGGCAUGCCUUACACAUGCAAGUCGAACGGCAGCACGGGGCAACCUGGUGGCGAGUGGCGAACGGGUGAGUAAUGCAUCGGAACGUACCUUUCAGUGGGGGAUAACGUAGCGAAAGUUACGCUAAUACCGCAUAUUCUGUGAGCAGGAAAGCAGGGGAUCGCAAGACCUUGCGCUGAUUGAGCGGCUGAUGUCAGAUUAGCUAGUUGGUGAGGUAAAGGCUAACCAAGGCGACGAUCUGUAGCGGGUCUGAGAGGAUGAUCCGCCACACUGGAACUGAGACACGGUCCAGACUCCUACGGGAGGCAGCAGUGGGGAAUUUUGGACAAUGGGGGCAACCCUGAUCCAGCCAUGCCGCGUGAGUGAAGAAGGCCUUCGGGUUGUAAAGCUCUUUCGGCCGGGAAGAAAUCGCACGGGCUAAUACCCUGUGUGGAUGACGGUACCGGAAUAAGAAGCACCGGCUAACUACGUGCCAGCCGCCGCAGUAAAAC
rnacentral:rRNA from 1 species